rnacentral:lncRNA from 1 species
GGUUUCAAAGGCAGGAGUUUCCCAGCUCCAUGCCUCCAUCCAGGAACCAGAGGGGUUUCAAAUGUAAAGUUCUUUGUGUGGGUUCCCCACACCACAGGCUAGGUAGAAAAAGCCAAGUGAGGUUCAUUUGUCUCAAAAAAAACCACCAAAACCUCUGGGAGGAGGGGGCUUUGUAACUCAGAGUUGUGGACCAAGCAGCCAAUUCAGUAUCAGAGUCAAAGAUUAAUCACUCCGGAGGACGUUUGAAAUAACUCCUCUCAUUGGACAAGAACAUGAAUGGGGAGGGAAUAACUCAAGGGUUAAAACUCCAGCUGCUUCCUACGUAUAUGGAUAUCUUCUCUGGGUCCCCUCCGGACGACGUGGGAGCUGUCUUUCUUUCUCUCUCUCUCUGUCUAAUAAAUUGCUGUUUGGGAGGCUGAGGCGGGUGGAUCACGAGGUCAAGAGAUCGAGACCAUCCUGGUCAACACGGUCCAAAAGGGAGUGUGGUUUCAAAGGCAAGGCCUUCCCAGUGCCAUACCUCCACUUACUUCUCCAUCCAGGAGCUUAGAGGUCUUUGUUUAACUUUCACGCAUGCGGGAAGAUGGACUGCCCAGCUCACUCUUUGGUUUGCAGAAAUCUCCCACAAAUGCAACUUUGGUGAAAGAGAACGUGGAGUUGAAUUUCCUGAGAUUAAAUGUAACUGAUGUAACUCCGCUAUAUGCAGGAAAAUGUUCUAAUAAAUAUUACUCUUUGAUACAAAAUGAGAUGCAAGUAUGCUGAAAAUUAUCAGAUGA